rnacentral:rRNA from 1 species
UACGGAGGGUGCAAGCGUUGUCCGGAAUUACUGGGCGUAAAGCGUGCGCAGGCGGUUCGUUGUGUCGGCGGUGAAAGCCCCGGGCUUAACCUGGGAAUGGCCGUUGAAACUGGCGAACUGGAGUGUGGCAGAGGGGGUGGAAUUCCGCGUGUAGCAGUGAAAUGCGUAGAGAUGCGGAGGAACACCGAUGGCGAAGGCAGCCCCCUGGGCUAACACUGACGCUCAGGCACGAAAGCGUGGGAGCAAACAGG